rnacentral:lncRNA from 1 species
UGCUGCCACACAGAGGCAGAGUUGAGGCUGCUUCUAAAGGGAAGGAGUGAAGGAAGAAAAUCUUUUUUGGUUAGAAAUUACCUGGAUUUCCUGCUGGGGACACCCCAUCACCCUUCAAGGCUUUUUCCUUGUCCAAGAACUCAUAUUUUUGGUUGUUUUCCUAAGCAUCUUUUUAUGUCCUGAGGAUGAGCUGAACACUAAACCAGAUGAACAAGCUGCAGGAGCCCAGCACUUGCCCACCUGGGGCUGACCUUUUGAAGGACCACUUGAGGAGAGUGGAGGCUUGGCCAGGUGAUGAUUCCAAGCUCUGCAGUCCCUGGAUCAGCAAACCCCCGCCCCCGGGCACAGAUGGAGCUGCGGCAUCCGCCAAGGAGGAUCGGGAGAGGAAAGGAGCUGGGAAUUCGCUUCUCCUGCCUGCAGGUCCCUCUGGAAAAGCGGGAUGCUCUGAUGGACGGUGUUUGCAGCACGGCAGGAUGUGAAUCCUCCUGUGCUCCCCACCUCUCUGCUCCAUCCCGUUCCUUCCCCGGCCCUGACCGCAUCCCUCCAGAGCCUCCUCGGCGUUUCCAAGCCAACAGCUCAAGCCCAAGUGCCACCAGAGGUGACUUGGAGCAGGGUCACUUGCUGCCUUGGUGCUCUCUGCUGGGGACACUCCCAGCCCGGGCUCAUCACUUGGAGAUAAACACGAAACCGCUCUGAGAGCUGGAGCCCCUCUGCUCUGGAGCCAGGCUGGGAGAGCUGGCAAUGCUCACCUGGAGAAGGUGAGCAAUAUCCAACACACCGUGGCCACUCCUGUGUUCCUCAAUGGACCCCAUUCCCAGCAUCCUGCCCAAAAUCCCUUCCCUUGUUCAGCCUCACAGCAGCAGCUGCUGCUCGUUUUGGUGCCCACUGCAGAUGGGAUCAUUCGAUCUCCAGAUUUCUCCGUGCAGCCAAGUUGGAGCUUGCAAUUUCCUUUCAGCUGCAUUAAGUUCCUGCAUAAUUUUCAAUUCACUCUUCUUUUGUGGGGGAUGAAUAGAGAAGGGUGAUCUCUUUCAAAGAAGAUUUAUUAAAAUGCAAAUAAACUUCAAGCUGAAGGUCCA